rnacentral:lncRNA from 1 species
CUCCGUGUGCCAAAAAUAGGCCGCGGGCAAAGCCGUACCAAAAAAUAACCGCCCGAAGUCCGGGGCGCAAAGUUCGUCCAGCGGAAAAAGGCCACAAAAACGGUUGCGCUAUAGCCUUGGGGGGUGGGGCUGGCCCACUUCGUCCGCCGGACUCGGAAUGCCUCGAGACUUUGUGUGGGGCCUCGUUGUGCCAAAAAUAGGCCACGGGCACAGACGCGCCCAAAAAUAACUGCCCGAAGGCCGGGGCGCCAAGUUCGUCCAGCGGAAAAAGGCCACAAAAACGGGUGGGCUAUAGCCUUGGGGGGUGGGGCUGGCCAACUUCAUCCGCCGGACUCGGAAUGCUAUGAGACCUUGCGAGGGGUCUCCGUGUGCCAAAAAUAGGCCGCGGGCAAAGCCGCGCCCAAAAAUAACAACCCGAAGGCCGGGGCGCCAAGUUCAUCCAGCGGAAAAAAGGCCACAUAAACGGGUGGGCUAUAGCCUUGGGGGGUGGGGCUGGCCAACUUCGUCCGCCAGACUCGGAAUGCCGCGAGACUUUGUGAGGGCCCUCCGUGUGCCAAAAAUAGGCCGCGGCCAAAGCCGCGCCCAAAAAUAACCGCCCGAAGGCCGAGGCGCCAAGUUCGUCCAGCGGAAAAAGGCCACAAAAACGGGUGGGCUAUAGCCUUGGGGGGUGGGGCUGGCCAACUUCGUCCGCCGGACUCGGAAUGCUACGAGACCUUGCGAAGGGCCUCCGUUUGCCAAAAAUAGGCCACGGACAAAGCCGAGCCCAAAAAUAACCGCUCGAAGGCCGGGGCGCCAAGUUCGUCCAGCGGAAAAAGGCCACACAAACGGGUGGGCUAUAGCCUUGGGGGGUGGGGCUGGCCAACUUCGUCCGCCGGACUCGGAAUGCCGCGAGACUUUGAGAUGGGCCUCCGUGUGCCAAAAAUAGGCCGCGGACAAAGCCGAGCCCAAAAAUAACUGCCCGAAGGCCGGGGCGCCAACUUCGCCCAGCGGAAAAUGGCCACAAAAACGGGUGGGCUAUAGCCUUGGGGGGUGGGGCUGGCCAACUUCGUCCGCCGGACUUCGAAUGCCGCGAGACUUUGCGACGGGCCUCCGUGUGCCAAAAAUAGGCCGUGCGCAAAGCCGUACCCAAAAAUAACCGCCCGAAUGCUGGGACGCCGAGUUCGUCCAGCGGAAAAAGGCUACACAAACGGGUGGGCUAUAGCCAUGCGGGGUGGGGCUGGCCAACUUCGUCCGCCGGACUCGGAAUGCCGCGAGACUUUGCGAGGGGCCUCCAAGUGCCAAAAAUAGGCCGCGGGCAAAGCCGCGCCAAAAAAUAACCGCCCGAAGGCCGAGGCGCCAAGUUCUUCCAGCGGAAAAAGGCCACAAAAACGGGUGGGCUAUAGCCUUGGGGGGUGGGGCUGGCCAACUUCGUCCGCCGGACUCGGAAUGCUACGAGACUUUGCGAGGGGCCUCCGUGUGCCAAAAAUAGGCCGCGGGCAAAGCCGCGCCCAAAAAUAACGACCCGAAGGCCGGAUCGUCAAGUUCGUCCAGCGGAAAAAGGCCACAAAAACGGGUGGGCUAUAGCCUUGGGGGGUGGGGCUGGCCAACUUCGUCCGCCGGACUCGGAAUGCUACGAGACCUUGCGAAGGGCCUCCGUUUGCCAAAAAUAGGCCACGGACAAAGCCGAGCCCAAAAAUAACCGCUCGAAGGCCGGGGCGCCCAGUUCGUCCAGCGGAAAAAGGCCACCAAAACCGGUGCGCUAUACCCUUGGGGGGUGGGNNNNNNNNNNNNNNNNNNNNNNNNNNNNNNNNNNNNNNNNNNNNNNNNNNNNNNNNNNNNNNNNNNNNNNNNNNNNNNNNNNNNNNNNNNNNNNNNNNNNNNNNNNNNNNNNNNNNNNNNNNNNNNNNNNNNNNNNNNAAAAGGCUGCUCUAUGUGACGCAAGCUAUAGCCUUGGGGGGUGGGGCUGGCCAACUUCGUCCGCCGGACUUGGAAUGCCGCGAGACUUUGCGAGGGGCCUCCCUGUGCCAAAAAUAGGCCGCGGGCAAAGCCGCGUCCAAAAAUAACUGCCCGAAGGCGUUCGUCCAGCGGAAAAAGGCCACAAAAACGGGUGGGCUAUAGCCUUGGGGGGUGGGGCUGGCCAACUUCGUCCGCCGGACUCGGAAUGGUGCGAGACAUUGCGAGGUGCCUCCGUGUGCCAAAAAUAGGCCGCGGGCAACGCCGCACCCAAAAAUAACCACACGAAGGCCGGGGCGCCAAGUUCGUCCCGCGGAAAAAGGCCACACAAACGGGUGGGCUAUAGCCUUGGGGGGUUGGGCACGCCAACUUCGUCCGCCGGUCUCGGAAUGCCGCGAGACUUUGCGAGGGUCCUCCGUGUGCCAAAAAUAGGCCGCGGGCAAAGCCGCGCCCAAAAAUAACACCCCGAAGGCCGGGGCGCCAAGUUCGUCCAGCGGAAAAAGGCCACAAAAACGGGUGGGCUAUAGCCUUGGGGGGUGGGGCUGGCCAACUUCGUCCGCCGGACUUGGAAUGCCGUGAGACUUUGCGAGGGGCCACCGUGUGCUAAAAAUAGGCCGUGGGUAAAGCCGCGCCCAAAAAUAACCUCCCGAAGGCCGGGGCGCCAAGUUCGUCCAGCGGAAAAAGGCCACAAAAAUGGGUGGGUUAUAACCUUGGGGUUUGGGGCUGGCCUACUUCGCCCGCCAGACUCGGAAUGCCGUGAGACUUUGCGAGGGGACUGCAUGCGCCAAAAAUAGGCCACGGCCAAAGCCAUGCCCAAAAUAACCGCCCGAAGGCCGGGGCGCCAAGUACGUCCAGCGGACAAAGGCCACAAAAACGGGUGGGCUAUAACCAUGGGGUUUGGGGCUGGCCAACUUUGUCAGCCGGACUCGGAAAGCCGCGAGACUUUGCGAGGGGCCUCCGUGUGCCAAAAAUAGGCCGCGGACAAAGCCGCACCCAAAAAUAACCGCCUGAAGGCCGGGGCGCCAAGUUCGUCCAGCGGAAAAAGGCCACAAAAAUGGGUGGGCUAUAACCUUGGGGUUUGGGGCUGGCCUACUUCGCCCGCCGGACUCGGAAAGCCGCGAGACUUUGCGAGGGGCCUCCGUGCGCCAGACAUAGGCCGCGGCCAAAGCCGCGCCCAUAAAUAACCGCCCGAAGGCCGGGGCGCCAAGCUCGUCCUGCGGAAAAAGGCCACAAAAACGGGUGGGCUAUAGCCUUUGGGGGUGGGGCAGGCCAACUUCGUCCGCCGGACUCGGAAUGCCGCGAGACUUUGCAAGAGGCCUCCGUGUGCCAAAAAUAGGCCGCGGGGAAAGCCGCACCCAAAAAUAACGGCCGGAAGGCCGAGGCACCAAGUUCGUCCAGCGGAAAAAGGCCACAAAAGCGG